rnacentral:rRNA from 1 species
GUAGGGAAUAUUGCGCAAUGGACGAAAGUCUGACGCAGCGACGCCGCGUGAGUGAUGAAGGCCUUAGGGUCGUAAAGCUCUGUUGAAUGGGAAGAAAAAAAUGACGGUACCAUUCGAGGAAGGACCGGCUAACUUCGUGCCAGCAGCCGCGGUAAUACGAGGGGUCCUAGCGUUGUUCGGAAUCAUUGGGCGUAAAGGGUGUGUAGGUGGCCAUGUAAGUCAGGUGUGAAAGCCCCGGGCUCAACCCGGGAAGUGCACUUGAUACUGCGUGGCUUGAGUACCGAAGAGGGUAGUGGAAUUCCAGGUGUAGUGGUGAAAUACAUAGAUAUCUGGAGGAACACCGGUGGCGAAGGCGGCUACCUGGUCGAGUACUGACACUGAGACACGAAAGCAUGGGGAUCAAACAGGAUUAGAUACCCGGGUAGUCC